rnacentral:lncRNA from 1 species
GUCCCCUUUUCAAAAUUAAAAUUAAUGACAUCUACACUCAGCAACCACACACAUGGGCGGGGGGCACCGUUCUUGGAGCUACUGCAAUACCAGGUCGAUGCAUGGAGUGAACUAAGUAAGCUGCUAUUGCAACCCCCUCCUACAAAAAUCCACUUUAUAUACAUUUUUUUAGACAGGGUCUCAUCAUGUCACCCACUCUGGAGCUCAGUGGUGCCAUCAUGGCUGACUGCAGCCUUGACUUCCUGGGCUCAGGCAAUCCUCCAGCCUCAGCCUCUUGAGUAGCUGGACUAUAGGUGAGCUCAGGUGAUCCUCCUGGCUCAGCUUCCCCAGUAGCUGGGACUACAGGCACGCACCACCACACCUAGCUAAUUUUUGUAUUUUUUUGUAGAGUCAGUGUCUCACUAUGUUGCCCAGGCUGGCCCCCACUGGGUUGGCCUCUGUCAUACACCCCGCGGCACCCAGACUCCUCGGUGGCCCUUAGCCUCAGGUUCAUAGACUCAUCAGUCAGGGAUUUCUAUGUUUCCUCUGUGGCUCUGCGGGGGAUGGGUUGUGACCUGUUUACCACUAGAUCCCGGGAACCCUGCUUGGGCCUGUACAUCAAAGUCCCCAAGAAGUGAAGGAGCAAGAAAGUGGCAGAAUUUUUAAAAUUUUCAAUUUAAUUUAAAAAAUUAAUGUUUUAAAAUUUGUGUUUGGAUUUAAAAUGUGAAUGGAUAUCCAUAAUUGCAUUUUUUUUUUUUUGAGAUGGGGUCUCGCUCUGUCGCCCAGGCUGGAGUGCAAUGGCAUGAUCUCGGCUUACUGCAACCUCCACCUCCUGGGUUCAAGUGAUUCUCCUGCCUCAGCCUCCCGAGUAGAUGAGAUUACAGAUGCCCACUGCCACGCCUGGCCAAUUUUUUGUAUUUUUUAGUAGAGACAGGGUUUCACCAUGUUGGCUAGGCUUGUCUCCAACUCCUGACCUCAGGUGAUUCACCUGCCUCAGCCUCCCAAAGUACUGGGAUUACAGGCGUGACCAUGACCGGCCAUAAUUGCAAUUUUUUAAACAGUUAUUUGUUUUUUGAGAUGGAGACUCACUCUGUCACUCAGGCUGGAGUGCAGUGGUGUGAUCUCAGCUCACUGCAACCUCCACCUCCCGGGUUGAAGCCAUUCUCCUGCCUCAGUCUCCCGAGUAGCUGGGACUAGAGGCACCCACCACCACACCUGGCUAAUUUUUGUAUUUUUUUUUAGUAAAGACGGGGUUUCGCCAUGUUGGCCAGGCUGGUCUUGAAAUCCUGACCUCAGCUGGUCCGCCCGCCUCAGCCUCCCGAAGGCAGGGAUUACAGGCAUGAGCCACUGCACCUGGCCUAUUAUUUCAAUUUUAAUAUCAAAUUGCUAACACUAGGCUGGGCACGGUGGCUUGUACCUGUAAUCCCAGCACUUUGGGAGGCCGAGAUGGGAAGAUCGCUUGAGCCCAAGAGUUUGAGACCAGCCUGGGCAACACAGCGAGACCCCAUCUCCUCAAAAACUCAAAAAAGUAGCCUGCCUGUAGUCUCAGCUGCUCAGGAGGCUGAGGUGGGAGGAUGAUUGCUUGAGCCUGGAAGGUCUGCUGCACUACAGCCUGGGCAACAGAGCAGGACCCUGUCCCUGUCUCGAAAAAAAAAUAAAAAUAAAAGUAAAAAUAAAAAAUAAAGAACAGGAGAGGGGCUCCGGGAUAUGGGUGGCAAAAAAAGGCAACAUGGGGUCCUAACCUGGCCAUUUUUGUCCUCACUGCUCACUGGGAUGUGGUGUGGAUGAUGCUGGGUGAUAUCACGGAACCAGCGGCGAUCCUCUCAGGCACACUCGCAUUAACAUGGCUAUGACUGGGAAGGGUGUGCUCAGAGGUGCAGGCAGAAUGGUUUUGGAGUCUGCUGCCUGCAUUUGGAUGGUUUGGCAAAAGAGAAGUGUGUGGAGGAGAGACAGAGGGAGGGAGAGAGAAAAAAGAGGAGAGAGAGAGGGAAGGAGAGCCGGGGAACCCAGGCCAGGGCGAUACAGUAUGCACUGCGUGCUCCUGCAACUUUUAUGCUCCAAAUGUUUCAAAAUAAAACCAGAGGGUGAGGAAAACAGUGAUGUGGCCAGGCCCAGUGUGCAGGCUCCAGCUCCCCAGUAUGCGUCUCCCUCCCGGCCGACUGCCAGCGCCACUGAAAGACUCAGACCCAGGGGUGGUGGCAUCAGAGCUGAGCCUCAAAGGACCCAGAAGCCUGGGAUGUUUAAAACCUGCCCAUUAUGGGGUCUAGCGAACAGCUUCUUUUAUUCUUGUUUGAAAGUAUUUUUCUG